GACAGAGGGCGCGAGCGUUGUUCGGAAUCACUGGGCGUAAAGCGCGCGCAGGCGGACCAGGCAAGUCUGGAGUGAAAUCUCGCCGCUCAACGGCGAGGCUGCUCUGGAAACUGCGGGUCUGGAGACCGGUAGAGGCUGGUAGAAUUGCAGGUGUAGCGGUGGAAUGCGUAGAGAUCUGCAAGAAUACCCGUGGCGAAGGCGGCCAGCUGGGCCGGUUCUGACGCUGAGGCGCGAAAGCGUGGGGAGCAAACAGG
rnacentral:rRNA from 1 species